GUGCCAGCAGCCGCGGUAAGACGAACCGUCCAAACGUUAUUCGGAAUCACUGGGCUUAAAGGGUGCGUAGGCGGUCCGGCAAGUUGGGUGUGAAAGCCCUCGGCUCAACCGAGGAACUGCGCCCAAAACUGCCGGGCUCGAGGGAGACAUAGGUGUGCGGAACCUAGGGUGGAGCGGUGAAAUGCGUUGAGAUCCUAGGGAACACCAGUAGCGAAAGCGGCACACUGGGUCUCUUCUGACGCUGAUGCACGAAAGCUAGGGGAGCGAAGAGGAUUAGAUACCCUCGUAGUCC
rnacentral:rRNA from 1 species